rnacentral:misc_RNA from 1 species
ACCCUGGAAUUCGAGAUGGCGUGAUAAGAUGCACGAAUAUUAAUGAUAACAAAGGUGAGUAUAUAUCGUUAAACCCUGUUUUUUAAUUAUACUGUAAGGUGUUCAUUUUGAUGAGAGAGAGAGAGAGAGAGAGAGAGAGAGAGAGAGAGAGAGAGAGAGAGAGAGAGAGAGAGACUCUCCUCACUUUAUUCAAUUUGAAUAUAGAAACAUAAAUACGCUUAUCAAACUUUAUUUUAAAUGGACUUUUUGUAGAUUGUUUUACGAUGGUUAGCCACAAACGACUCUUGAAGUUAGUAGUAUUGCUCAUAUUUCUAUUUUCUAUUAUCAAAAUUUACUGGACCAUGAUUAAACGCAAAGGGGAUCAAAGUACUGAUGUGAUUGGAAGCAAAUUAACGGUGAUGUGUCAAUAUAAUGACACAGGGGCAGUUUUCAAUGCUUCAAAAUUUAAGUUAUCUCCCGUGCCAAAACAUUCCCUGAAAAAUGACACAACCGAAACAGUGUCUCCUGAGAUUGCUGAAUUCUUCACGAGACUAAACAAGACACUUUGUGAGGACUUCGCGGUGUUAAUUCUGACACCAAUACACAACAGUGAGAGAGAUAUAGAAAACUACGUGAAUCUUAUCAGAACGUUGAACUAUCCUAAAAAUAGACUCUCGGUUGUUUUGGGGGAGGAUGGUAGCAACGAUGGGACGUUUUUAAAAGCAGAGAAUGCAGUAGACGUAUUCAGAUCCAUCGGUCUGCGCAGGGCAGACGUCCUCCAUUUUAACUUCACCGGUGGACUGGAAACAAACAGCUGGACGAAAGAACAUUCUUACGUCAAUCAAUUUCAAAGAAGGAGCCAUUUAGCAAGAGCCCGAAAUUUGUUACUAAUGUCUGCCUUGGGAGACGAGGAUUACGUCCUGUGGAUGGAUUCCGAUUUACGCAGCGUUCCUCCAGACUUGAUACAACAGAUGAUAUAUGUAAACAAGGACGUUGUGACGGCUCGUGUCUGUUCAGAGAAAACAGUGGUCGUCUGCGAAUUUACGAUAAAAAUUCUUGGCGGGAAACGGCGGAGUCUUUGCAAAGACAACGGAAACUUCCUCAGCAACAACUGGUUGUAGAGGGCUAUGGAGCUUCGCUGAGAGUAUAUUUACCGCAUUUACAGGGAGAGGGGAAAAGAGUAGUUUCGAUAGAUGGCGUGGGAGGAUGUAGUUUAAUGAUCAAAGCAGAAUGUCACCGAAAAGGUCUUUAUUUCCCGGAAAAAUUGUUCCAAAGACACAUAGAAACUGAAGGACUUGCAAAAAUGGCAAAACAUAUGGGAUACGGUGUUUAUGGUUUGCCAUUUCUAAACGUUUUUCAUUCGUAACAAAUUACAUCUAAUAAUUAUAUAUAAACCAAUUAAAUACUAAAAAAUUG